rnacentral:piRNA from 1 species
AUCUUAAGAGAAUGCCUGCACUU